ensembl:lncRNA
GCUUUGACUCCAUCCAUCCAUGGACUUCAAGAGGCCAGUCUGACAGGAGUUGCUGAUGAAGAAGGGAAGAAAUAAUCAAGGAUGAAUCAUAGAUCUGGAGUUUGAGCAAGUGAGCAGAUGCCUGUGAAAGAAAUAGCCCCAUGGACUGUAGCCUGCCAGACUCCUCUGUCCAUGGAAUUUCCCAGACUGGUUCCAAAUAGGAAAAGGAGUACAUCAAGGCUGUAUAUUGUCACCCUGCUUAUUUAACUUAUAUGCAGAGUACAUCAUGAGAAACGCUGGGUUGGAAGAAACACAAGCUGGAGGCAAGAUUGCUGGGAGAAAUAUCAAUAACCUCGGAUAUGCAGAUGACACGACCCUUAUGGCAGAAAGUGAAGAGGAGCUAAAAAAGUGAAAGAGG